GGAGGGAAAAGAAAGGAAGGAGAAAGAAGAAAAGGGCCAGGCGCGGUGGCUCACGCCUGUAAUCCCAGCACUUUGGAAGGUCGAGGNNNNNNNNNNUGCUAAGGCACCAGCAAAACCGCCACGCCGGCCACAAGAGUCGCCCUGGCGACCUGUGGAGCUCCUCCACUGGGAAUCUCCUGGUCCGUGAGCAACUAAUAUUCGUCUGAAAGUGUGGCGUCCUCUCGUUCUUUGCACUUUCACUGGAAGGUACGUGCCAGAGCUGCUAAUCAUCAGCCAUCUUGGAUCUCUCUGAGGUGGAGAUCUUGCCACUGCACUCCAGCCUGGGCGACAGAGUGAGACUCCAACUCAAAAAAAAAAAAAAAAAAAAAAAAAAAGUGAAGAAGAAAGGAAAGGAAAGGAAGGGGAAAAAAACCAAUAUUAUUCAAGGACCUGCUGUAUACUGCUGUGUGGAUAUAUAUAUGUGUACAUACACACACAUACACACACGCUUAGCAAGGAAAUGCUGCUCAGGAGUAAGGAAGGGAAGGGAGGGGCUAUGGACAUCUUUCUGCAGCUCUGAGAAGCAGCAGACAACUCGCCAUUUUGCCAGACAUCUCCUAGCAGCAAAGAGCCUGGGAUUUUGAGUCAGACGAGGCUGUCUUCUACUCUGCUUUCUACUCCCUGUGGUCUUGGGCAAGUCCUUUGAGCUCUUUGAGAGUGCGUUUCCUCUUGUAAAAAAUGGGUGGGGAUAAUAUCCAUCUCACUGAAUUGUUGAGGAGAUGUUAUGCCACAGUGAGUAUGAUGGCCUAGCAAUGCCUGGCAUACGACGGGCUCCACAAACGGUGCCAUGUCUUGCUAUUGCAAGGAUGGAAUGAAGAGACCUAAGCAAGCGUUCAGUGCCUUCAGCUUUUCCAGAUUCAGAGUGAGCAUGUGGCUUUGUUUUCACAGGUCCAGAGUUAAUUAACAGCAGUGUUAGUGGGUGUAUCCCCAUGUUCAGAUGGUUCUCUGCUUUGAUGGGUACACUUCAGCCACCCGAGGGCAAAAUGAGGUCAUGCUUUGGAAUUGUGAAGAGAAGGCCUCUUUCUCAUUAGCUGUCACACCCUCGAAUAGACUUUGUUUUCCAUUAUUAAGUGACAGCCUUAAUAGCAGACAUCCUUGUCAUGGAUCCUUCUCAAAUUUCAGAAAAGGAGAACACGUCACAGUUCUUAGACCACAUACUCAAGCAAUGUUGAUGAAAUUCGACACAACAGGAGAAGAAAUACUUUCACUGGAUUCUUGGAGGCCCUGACUCAGGAUUGAAUGCUCCCAGAAUCUAAAGUCACCUUCCCAUUCCCUGAUUUCUAUUUGGGGAAUAGAGAACUCCCACAUAUGUGAUCCGGUGGAAAACAAUGGCAGCCUCCCAAAAGGGCCUAGAUCUUCCCUGGUCAGCCCCAGCACAGGCCUGAACAUUCGGGGCCAGCUGAGAACUCUUGCCUAGAGUUUGAAAUUUGAAGUGAAUGACACGAGGAGGUGGAGACGAUUUGGAGGUUGCUCAUCACAGGCAUCGGCGGCUUGCUGACAACACUCUUCUAGGGUGCAGCCUCUACCGGGAUCCCCAGUGCUCAGCCCCUGGGAGCCACAUAGAUGCACCUGUUCCAUGCCUUGCUAUUCAGAUUUCAUUCUCCUGAUAUCUUUCUCCUACCUUCCUUUUUGUUUAAAUAGUUCCCACUGUUUGCAACCAAGAACUCUGACACAAUACAAGCUGACGCGGCUGGGUGUGGUGGCUCACGCCUGUAAUCCAAGCACUUUGGAGGCCAAGGUGGGUGGAUCACCUGAGGUCGGGAGUUCAAGACCAGCCUGACCAACAUGGUGAAGCCCCGUCUUAAAAAAUAAAAAAUAAAAAAAAAUACAAACUGA
ensembl:lincRNA